GAUCAUUCAAGAUUCAAGAAUCAAAAUAAAGAAUCAAGAUGUCCAUCAAUUCGAACGAUGGCAUGGUGUAAUGUUUAUCGUGAUUCGUGAAUAUCGUCACUAUGCUGUCGUGAUCCUGGAAAAGAAAUGAAAGAACUAUGAGAAAAAUUAGUGGUCGCAAGGAAUUAGCCUGUUUUGGUCUGAUCUGAUGAAGUUGGGUGGUAAAAUAUGUUGCUGUUAUACCAUUAUGGGUAAAGAGAGUAAUAUGUUCUCUGUGGAAUGCCUGAAUAUUUUCGACCGGGUUUGCCAAGAAAUUGUUCGAUAAUAUGUAAGAACGGGAAAGUCAGGAACUGAAGGAUCAAGCCCACGAUUUUCCCUCUACCUCGCUCUGCUAUGCUGACUCAUGGCGCCAAAUGUUAUUGGUCAUCACAAACUAGUGACUCGUACUCUUGCUAUAAUGGCCUAAUGUCAGGCUGACUUUUCAGCAAAGAGCGGCAAAAAGAAACUAGAAUCCAAUAUCAGCUGUGAUGUGUAAGUUGAACAGCAUUUCAAGCAAUUAUCAUCUGUUUUACUCAUUGUAUGCAAUUUUUCAUC